UACGUAGGGGGCUAGCGUUGUCCGGAUUUAUUGGGCGUAAAGAGCGUGUAGGCGGCCAGGUAGGUCUGCUGUGAAAACUCGAGGCUCAACCUCGAGACGUCGGCGGAAACCAUCUGGCUAGAGUCCGGAAGAGGAGAGUGGAAUUCCUGGUGUAGCGGUGAAAUGCGUAGAUAUCUGGAGGAACACCGGUGGCGAAGGCGGCGUUCUGGACUGCUACUGACACUGAGGAACGAAAGCCAGGGGAGCAAACGGG
rnacentral:rRNA from 1 species